rnacentral:lncRNA from 1 species
UGCCCCCAAUAAAUUGGGAACCAUUAUCACAUAUAAUUUCAGAAGGAAUACCAAAUCUAGUUAUAAUAUUUCUUUUAAUGAAGGAUAUAACUUCCUUUUCUCUGACUUGGGCAAAAGCUUCAGCCUCUAUCCACUUGGAGAAGUAAUCAGUCAUAGCAAGCAUGAACACUUUCCCACCAGGUGCCUUAGGGAGCUUGCCAACUAUAUCCAUCCCCUAUCUCAUGAAUGGCCAAGAGGAUGGUAUAGGAUGUAGAAAUUCAGCCGGCUGA